GGCAUGGUUGUCGUCAGCUCGUGUCGUGAGGUGUUGGGUUAAGUCCCGCAACGAGCGCAACCCUCGACCUUAGUUGCCAGCAUUCAGUUGGGCACUCUAAGGUGACUGCCGGCUAAAAAGUCGGAGGAAGGUGGGGAUGACGUCAAAUCAUCAUGCCCCUUAUGACCUGGGCUACACGCGUGCUACAAUGGGCGGUACAAAGGGUCGCGAACCCGCGAGGGGGAGCCAAUCCCAAAAAGCCGCUCUCAGUUCGGAUUGCAGGCUGCAACUCGCCUGCAUGAAGCCGGAAUCGCUAGUAAUCGCGGAUCAGCAUGCCGCGGUGAAUACGUUCCCGGGCCUU
rnacentral:rRNA from 1 species